rnacentral:rRNA from 1 species
UCGUAGUCGGCACGAGCGCACCCACAUCCUUAGUUGCCAGCAGUUCGGCUGGGCACUCUAAGGAAACUGCCCGUGAUAAGCGGGAGGAAGGUGUGGAUGACGUCAAGUCCUCAUGGCCCUUACGGGUUGGGCUACACACGUGCUACAAUGGCAACGACAAUGAGUUAAUCCCCAAAAGUUGUCUCAGUUCGGAUUGGGGUCUGCAACUCGACCCCAUGAAGUCGGAAUCGCUAGUAAUCGCGUAACAGCAUGACGCGGUGAAUACGUUCCCGGGCCUU